AACUCCGGUGGUACAAGAUGGACCCGCGUCUGAUUAGCUGGUUGGUGAGGUAACGGCCCACCAAGGCGACGAUCAGUAGCCGGCCUGAGAGGGUGAACGGCCACAUUGGGACUGAGACACGGCCCAAACUCCUACGGGAGGCAGCAGUGGGGAAUAUUGCACAAUGGGGGAAACCCUGAUGCAGCAACGCCGCGUGAGUGAAGAAGUAUUUCGGUAUGUAAAGCUCUAUCAGCAGGAAAGAAAAUGACGGUACCUGACUAAGAAGCCCCGGCUAACUACGUGCCAGCAGCCGCGGUAAUACGUAGGGGGCAAGCGUUAUCCGGAUUUACUGGGUGUAAAGGGAGCGUAGACGGUUUUGCAAGUCUGAAGUGAAAGCCCGGGGCUUAACCCCGGGACUGCUUUGGAAACUGUGGGACUAGAGUGCAGGAGAGGUAAGUGGAAUUCCUAGUGUAGCGGUGAAAUGCGUAGAUAUUAGGAGGAACACCAGUGGCGAAGGCGGCUUACUGGACUGUAACUGACGUUGAGGCUCGAAAGCGUGGGGAGCAAACAGGAUUAGAUACCCUGGUAGUCCACGCCGUAAACGAUGACUACUAGGUGUUGGUGGGUACGACCCAUCGGUGCCGCAGCAAACGCAAUAAGUAAUCCACCUGGGGAGUA
rnacentral:rRNA from 1 species